UACGUAGGGUGCAAGCGUUAAUCGGAAUUACUGGGCGUAAAGCGUGCGCAGGCGGUUUUGUAAGCCGGAUGUGAAAUCCCCGGGCUUAACCUGGGAAUGGCAUUUGGGACUGCAAGGCUCGAGUGCGGCAGAGGAGACUGGAAUUCCUGGUGUAGCAGUGAAAUGCGUAGAUAUCAGGAGGAACACCGAUGGCGAAGGCAGGUCUCUGGGCUGACACUGACGCUCAUGCACGAAAGCGUGGGGAGCAAACAGG
rnacentral:rRNA from 1 species